rnacentral:rRNA from 1 species
CCUACGGGAGGCAGCAGUGGGGAAUUUUGGACAAUGGGCGCAAGCCUGAUCCAGCCAUGCCGCGUGUGGGAAGAAGGCCUUCGGGUUGUAAACCACUUUUGUCAGGGAAGAAACGGUCCGAUCUAAUAAAUUGGGCUAAUGACGGUACCUGAAGAAUAAGCACCGGCUAACUACGUGCCAGCAGCCGCGGUAAUACGUAGGGUGCAAGCGUUAAUCGGAAUUACUGGGCGUAAAGCGUGCGCAGGCGGCUUUGCAAGACAGAUGUGAAAUCCCCGGGCUCAACCUGGGAACUGCAUUUGUGACUGCAUGGCUAGAGUACGGUAGAGGGGGAUGGAAUUCCGCGUGUAGCAGUGAAAUGCGUAGAUAUGCGGAGGAACACCGAUGGCGAAGGCAAUCCCCUGGACCUGUACUGACGCUCAUGCACGAAAGCGUGGGGAGCAAACAGGAUUAGAUACCCUGGUAGUCCACGCCCUAAACGAUGUCAACUGGUUGUUGGACGGCUUGCUGUUCAGUAACGAAGCUAACGCGUGAAGUUGACCGCCUGGGGAAGUACGGCCGCAAGGUUGAAACUUAAAGAGUUAGUUGGCGNGNGAGAGCGACGACGACGACGACGGAGGGAGGAGG